UACGUAGGGUGCGAGCGUUAAUCGGAAUUACUGGGCGUAAAGUGUGCGCAGGCGGCCGAGCAAGUCGAGUGUGAAAGCCCCGAGCUUAACUUGGGAACUGCGCUCGAAAACUACUUGGCUAGAGUGUGGCAGAGGGAGGUGGAAUUCCACGUGUAGCGGUGAAAUGCGUAGAGAUGAUGGAGGAACACCGAUGGCGAAGGCAGCCUCCUGGGCCAACACUGACACUGAGGAGCGAAAGCCAGGGGAGCAAACGGG
rnacentral:rRNA from 1 species